rnacentral:rRNA from 1 species
UACAGAGGGGGCAAGCGUUGUUCGGAAUUAUUGGGCGUAAAGGGCGCGUAGGCGGCCCGCUAAGUCGAACGUGAAAUCCCCGAGCUCAACUCGGGAACUGCGUCCGAUACUGGUGGGCUUGAAUCCGGGAGAGGGAUGCGGAAUUCCAGGUGUAGCGGUGAAAUGCGUAGAUAUGGGGAGGAACACCGGUGGCGAAGGCGGCUCCCUGGACCGGUACUGACGCUGAUGCGCGAAAGCGUGGGUAGCAAACAGG